rnacentral:rRNA from 1 species
CUAACAAGGAUUCCCCUAGUAACGGCGAGUGAAGCGGGAAGAGCUCAAGCUUAAAAUCUCCGUGCAAGUUUUGCGCGGCGAAUUGUAGUCUAUAGAGGCGUGGUCAGCGUGGGCGCUUGGGGCAAGUUCCUUGGAAGAGGRCAGCAUGGAGGGUGAUACUCCCGUUCAUCCCUGAGUGGCUCGUGCGUACGACCCGUGUUCUUUGAGUCGCGUUGUUUGGGAAUGCAGCGCAAAGUAGGUGGUAAAUUCCAUCUAAAGCUAAAUAUUGGUGCGAGACCGAUAGCGAACAAGUACCGUGAGGGAAAGAUGAAAAGAACUUUGAAAAGAGAGUUAAAGAGUACCUGAAACUGCUGAAAGGGAACCGAAUCGUUUCCAGUGUCUAUAAUCCGUGGCAUAUUUCAUUGGCGAGUGUGCGCGUGCGUGUGCUGUGGCAGUGGCUUUUUUGGCUGCGCUCGGUGUGUGUGCUGUGUGUGCUUGCUGGUGCCCUGUGCUGCGGUGGGACGUCAAGGUCAGUUCGUAUGCUGCGGGAAAUGGCUGCCGAGGAGGUAGGGCUUACGCUCCGCGUUUGUCUGUUAUAUCUUGGUGGACGAGUCGUCGCGGUUGGGACUGAGGUGCCUACAACGUGCUUUUGAGUGGGUUUGUGUCUCCGUGUGCGCCGUGUGCGGAUAGCUUGCUAUGCGUGUGUGGUUGUGUGUGGAUUGAUGCGGGCUUUAACUUGUCGCCGUUCGGGACGUUGACGAAAUGGAGCGAUCCGACCCGUCUUGAAACACGGACCAAGGAGUCUAACAUGUGUGCAAGUGUUAGGGUGUGGAAACCCCAGCGCGAAAUGAAAGUGAAGGGCAGCGCAAGUUGUCUGAGGUAGGAAACGUUGCGGGCUUCGGUCUGCGGCGUGGCACUAUCGACCGAUCAUGAACCUUCGUGGUGAAAGAUUUGAGUUUGAGCACAUAUGUUGGUACCCGAAAGAUGGUGAACUAUGCCUGAGUAGGGUGAAGCCAGGGGAAACUCUGGUGGAAGCUCGUAGCGAUUCUGACGUGCAAAUCGAUCGUCAAACUUGGGUAUAGGGGCGAAAGACUAAUCGAACCAUCUAGUAGCUGGUUCCCUCCGAAAUUUCCCUCAGGAUAGCAGCAACUUAUUUACGAUAGUUUUAUGAGGUAAAGCGAAUGAUUAGAGGAUUCGGGGAAGAAACUUCCUCGACCUAUUCUCAAACUUUAAAUCUGUAAGACCUGCAGGUUUCUUAAUUGAACUUGUGGAUGUGAAUAUCAA